GACCCUGUGGUGAAGUUCAUGUUGAGUUGCAAGCUCAUUGAUGUACAUUAAGAAUGUACCGGGGUCU
rnacentral:tRNA from 1 species